UUUCCGUAGGUGAACCUGCGGAAGGAUCAUUAUUGUAUAACCGAGGUGCGAGGGCUGUCCCUGACCCGAAAGGUCGUGGACGCCCGAGUGCCCUCACACACAUCCAUCUCACCCCUAUGUGCACCACCGCGUGGGUCCCCCUUUGGCUUGUUCGGAGGGGGGCUUACGUUUUCACACAAACUUUGUAUGCAGUGUAGAAUGUAUUUUUUGUUUUUGCGAUCACGCAAUCAAUACAACUUUCAACAACGGAUCUCUUGGCUCUC
rnacentral:misc_RNA from 1 species